GUGGCUGUGGCUCGGUGGUAGAGCACUUGCCUUGUACGUGUGAGACACUGGGUUCGAUCCUCAGCACCACA
rnacentral:tRNA from 1 species